rnacentral:rRNA from 1 species
AUAUAAAGUUUACAGUGAACUAGUAAACCCCAUCUGAUNUUGAAAGCUAAGCAGAAUCAAGCCUGGUUACNAUUUGGAUGGGAGNCCACCCNGAAAUAUCAGGCAAUAUA